UACGUAGGGUCCGAGACGUUGUCCGGAAUUACUGGGCGUAAAGCGCGUGUAGGCGGUUAGUCCAAGUUGGAUGAUGAAAGCCUUGAGCUUAAACUCAAGAAAUGGCAUUUCAAGGACUGGAUGACGUAGAGGGACCUGGAGAGGAUAGUGGAAAUUCCCAGUGUAGUGGUGUAAAAUCACGUGAGAAGAUUGGGAAGAACACCAG
rnacentral:rRNA from 1 species